UACAACCUCCUCCACGGUUUGAACAGUAUCUGAUGCUCUCGCUCUCUCUCUCUCUCUCUCUCACACACUCCUCCUCCUCCUCCUCUUCUUCUCUGCAGGAGAACCGUCCACACCGUCCUCACUGACACCUGCUCUUCCACCUGACACGCUCGUCUCUCGGGCUCUCUCGUCCCGGACCGUGUCGGCGGUGCACGCCGCUCGGAGCGCACUGAGGGCGGCUGCAGAACGGAGGAUGGCCCGGUGUGUGGAGCGUGGACACGCGGGGGAUCGUGUCUCACCUCGAGUGUGUUUUGUCCUCUCGUGAACACAGGACGGGAUGACGUCAGAGCGAGUGACACUGCCGGCAUUCAGAGGGACAGAGACUGUCCCUGUCCAGGAGACGGGACACACAGAGGCCCUGUCUCAACUGGGAUUCAAACCCGCAACCUUCUCACUGUGAGGCACCCACUGCACCGCCACGUUACCCACACACAAUCACUCUGAUAUCCAAGAGAACCAGGGUUACGCUGAUAACCUCCACUGCAUCACCGUGACAGCGAAGGAAACUUAAAAACACAAACUUUGUCUUCAAGGUUCUGAAUGAUGUGAGACGAUGACAUACUCAGAGAAUGAUGUCACACUCAGGAGACUUAACCCUGUGAUGUCUGACCUCUGA